ACCCCCCACUUUCCUCUCAGCAGACCUAAACAAUGGUCUUCGUGGUGACAAGAGCAGGGAAAGCAAAACUCAAACUGACUUGAACGCUUUUGUUGUUCCAAGUAGAUCUUUUAAAGGA
rnacentral:snoRNA from 1 species